rnacentral:lncRNA from 1 species
UUAUAUUUUUUUUGCAAUAUGCAGCAAAAAUCAACAACUUUAAAUGUAAAACCUUUCUGUUGCAAUUUUCUCAAUAAAAUUAAAACAUUUAAAAUAGAACAAUAUCAAUUGACAAAAUGUUUUUUUUAGGGUAGGUGAUUUUUUAGCUUAAAAAAUAGGGAGGAUAGGGUUAUAGGAAACACACAUAUUUUUAUACGACCG